GGGGCAGUAGCUCAGUGGUUAGAGCAGCGGACUCAUAAUCCGUUGGUCGUUGGUUCAAGCCCAUCCUGCCCCA
rnacentral:tRNA from 3 species